GCUGGCGGCAUGCCUAACACAUGCAAGUCGAACGGUAACGGACCGCUGGGAUUCCUUCGGGAUGACCUUGGUGCCGACGAGUGGCGGACGGGUGAGUAAUACUUAGGAAUCUGCCCAGUAGUGGGGGACAACAUUCGGAAACGGAUGCUAAUACCGCAUACGCACUACGGUGGAAAGUGGGGGAUCUUCGGACCUCACGCUAUUGGAUGAGCCUAAGUCGGAUUAGCUUGUUGGUGAGGUAAUGGCUCACCAAGGCGACGAUCCGUAGCUGGUCUGAGAGGACGAUCAGCCACACUGGGACUGAGACACGGCCCAGACUCCUACGGGAGGCAGCAGUGGGGAAUAUUGGACAAUGGGCGCAAGCCUGAUCCAGCAAUGCCGCGUGUGUGAAGAAGGCCUGCGGGUUGUAAAGCACUUUCAGUUGGGAAGAAAAGCUCGAGGUUAAUACCCUCGGGUCUUGACGUUACCUACAGAAGAAGCACCGGCCAACUCCGUG
rnacentral:rRNA from 1 species